rnacentral:rRNA from 1 species
CCUACGGGUGGCAGCAGUGGGGGAUAUUGCACAAUGGGGGAAACCCUGAUGCAGCGACGCCGCGUGGGCGAAGAAGUAUUUCGGUAUGUAAAGCUCUAUCAGCAGGGAAGAAGAAAUGACGGUACCUGAGUAAGAAGCACCGGCUAAAUACGUGCCAGCAGCCGCGGUAAUACGUAAGGUGCAAGCUUUAUCCGGAUUUACUGGGUGUAAAGGGAGCGCAGGCGGCACGGCAAGCCUGAUGGGAAAGCCCGGGGCCCAACCGCGGGACUGCAUUGGGAACUACCGGGCUGGAGUGGCGGAGAGGUAGGCGGAAUGCCUGGUGUAGCGGUGAAAUGCGUAGAUAUUAGGAAGAACACCAGUGGCGAAGGCAGCCUACUGGACGGUGACUGACGCUGAGGCUCGAAAGCGUGGGGAGCAAACAGGAUUAGAUACCCCUGUAGUC